GCUUGAUGUAAUGGACAGCAGCUGUGUUCUCUGGAUAAAUAUGGGUUCUGGAAGAGAUAAAUCUUUGGUAACAGAUAACAUACCUUUGUACUCAUGUCUUGGAUCCUGGCUGGGUUAGAUCUUUGAACCCUAACCUUGUUCCUGCAAUCUUGUUUUGAACUCUGUCGCUCCUGUGACCUUGUUGUACCUUAGAACCCUGAAAUCUGAAUCUUGGACUUUAGUUUGACCCUUGACUAUCUGGCUUGACUUAUUGGCUUGACUUUGGAACUCUGACUACGAGUUAUUACAAAAAUCUUUCUAUUCAACUGCCUGAAGCUGAAAGAAAAGGAACCUGCUGUUUUUGUCAUGAGAGGAAGAAAGGGUCUCAGGGAAGCUUACCACAGAAUGACAGCUAUCCUGAUCUCCUAUGGGGAAGGAAGUUGGAGUAAAAAAAAUGAAAGGAGGAAAAGGAGAACACACAUAGAAUUUAACUUUCACUUCUGAUCUGUAUAAUUUCCAUGAAAAUAUCAAAUUAAAAACUGAGUUCCAAAGUAAUGUCUUCCCCUCAACUUUGCUGAUUGAUAAUGGCACGAAUUAAUACAAUAAAUGCAAUUGAUGACUCUUUUACUUAAUUUUU
rnacentral:lncRNA from 11 species